rnacentral:rRNA from 1 species
AGAGUUUGAUCCUGGCUCAGAGCGAACGCUAGCGGCGGGCCUAACACAUGCAAGUCGAGCGGGGAGCAAUCCCAGCGGCGGACGGGUGAGUAACGCGUAGGUAAUCAACCUUCUGGUGGGGAAUAACCCAGGGAAACUUGGGCUAAUACCGCAUAUGGCCUUCGGGUCAAAGCAGCAAUGCGCCAGAAGACGAGCCUGCGUCCCAUUAUUUAUUCCUAGUUGGCGGGGUAACGGCCCACCAAGGGUACGAUGGGUAGCGGGUCUGAGAGGAUGAUCAGCCACACUGGAACUGAGACACGGUCCAGACUCCUACGGGAGGCAGCAGUGGGGAAUAUUGCGCAAUGGGCGAAAGCCUGACGCAGCCACGCCGCGUGAGUGAUGAAGGCCUUCGGGUCGUAAAGCUCUGUCGGAGGGGAAGAAACAAUGACGGUACCCUCCAAGAAAGCACCGGCUAACUCCGUG